CAAAAACGAGGGUUUUUUAUGAUUGUUCAGCUCGAAAAGAUGCUCAAUCAUCUUUAUUAAACAGUUGCCUGGAAGUGGGACCAUCAUUGCAGCCACUUAUGUUUGACAUUCUCAUACGAAAUUGGAUGAAUAAAUUCUGCGUAUUAACCAAUAUAAAGAAAACGCAUUUUUCCAAAUUCAAAUUCACGAAAUAGAUUGAGACGCACAGCCAUUAAUUUAAUAUAAAGACUUGAAGAAAAUGGAAUUAUUAAAAUUAUGGUUUACAAGAGUAAUUUUUGGCUCCAGUUUAAGUCCAUUUAUUCUUAAUGCUACCAUUAAAAAGUAUAUAUCAAAUUACAAGGAUAUCUGUUGAACAAUAGUUUUGGCCUUGGAAGAUGAUUAUGUUUAUGAUCUGCAAUCAGGUGGAAUGCAUCUGUAUUAAUCACUUAAAAAAUACUCUACAGUUGACUAUGCUUACUGAAAAUUGGAUAGAAUUGAGAAAGAAAUUUGGAUAGGAUUGAGAAAUACCAAACAAACUUUGGGAAGAAUAGCAAAAGUGAAAAAAGGCAAUAAACAAAAAAGAACUAUUUUGAUUCCACGGUGUGUUAUAUCUGGUAGAAUUAUUUAAGUGAUUUUUGAAUGCCAUGUAUGCAUUGUAGCCAUGUGUACAAGCGUCUACACUGUUAUAAGCGACCAAAAUGCAAAAACUAGCAGCUUACUUGUAGCAAAAGCACAAAUUCCACCAAAGGAUAUCAGCAUUCCAAGUCUGAAGUUGAUAGCAGGACAUACACAGCAAAAAACAUAACGCUAAAAUAACGGUUACAUAACGGUAAUUGAAAAUUUUGGCGUUAUGUUCACCGUUAUGUUAGCGUUAUGUUUAGUUUAAAGCUUUAUGCCCAAAACUUUUUGUAUGAUAUUUGUAAAGCGUUAUGUUUAAUCGUUAUGUUUACAAAAUGGCGCGAAUCUAAAGGAUUUUUGCAAUUAGAUUUUUUGUUUAUAAUGUCUCAACUAUUUUGAUUUACUUAUUUAUUUACGUACGGUUUUUACCACUUAUUAAGUAACUUAGCUAUAAAACAGCAUUUUGGUUGUUAAUUAAUAUAUAUUUAUUGUAUAUUUGGUUCUGAAGCCCAUAACUGAUUGAUUUAACGUAUCCUUGUUUUGGGCAGCUUCUGGGAUGUUUCCAAGAUAUUUGUGGAUUUGGGCAAUAAGUUUUAUUAUUUAAAAAAUUCAUUUUAGUUCUGCAGUCUUUUCAUAGCAAUGCAAAGUACUUUUGACUUUAUUAAUGUUAAUUUUUACCAAAGUUAAUUUGUUUAAAUAUUUUCUUGGUUAUGAAAAAUGAUUUAAUAUAAAUAUAUUAAGGUAUUAAACUGCAUGAAUUUUUUAUGUUUAAUUAAACUUUUAUUAUCAUAAAAAUGUUCAAGGUUAGUUUGAGGAAUUAUUUGGAAAUCGGAAAAAUGGAAAAAACAUUAAAUUUGUUUAUGCUGCAUUUAUACUUCUUGUAUUGAAGAUGCAUACCUAAAAAUUUCAAAUUUUUAAUUCACUGUAUAUUGUGCCAAUUUUCGGUCCGUAAAUUGACCAAUAAGUUCCCUGAAAAAGUCUUUAAUAUUUGAAAUUAUUUUGAAAGAAAAAAUUAUGUGUUGUUAAGUUGAAAUUGUGAAGAAAUAUUUUUGGUCCAUAAAACCUACAGGAGGUAUACAUUUCAAGAAAAUAAAACAUUGUCACGCGAGAAGGCUUAGCUCAUCUUAUAUGGAAUGACCCUAUUAUAUGCUUAUAAUAUAUAAACUUUAUACUAUAAUAGUAUGAUUAUUGUAAUAUAUUAUAUGAUAUUUUUAUAAUAAAUUUUUUCUAGUAAUAUAAUAUAAAUUAGUGUAGUAUUAUUAAACUAAUUAAAUUGUGCCAAAUAAUGUUGUUUAAUAAUGUUGUUUAAUACUUGUGUAAUAAUGGUGUUUACCUCUUACCAUCUGACCUGUUUGUUUAUUAUUACUGUUUUUAACAUUAAUUUUGUAUUGCAAGUAUUAAAAAAUGUUAAAUAUACUAUUUGUAAAAUUAAAAUAGUAUAAACUAAUAAUAACUACUUUACUUAUUUCUUCAAUAGUUAAUAGUUGAAAAUAAUAAAGGCUGUUGUUGUCAAAUUUCUUGGGGAAAGAAAAUUGUUAUUGCUUGUAAUAUUGCUGACAUUUUAACUAAUGUGUGAUUCACUACAUGAAUACUUAUGCCAAAGUUUAUAUGGUCCACAAGUUAUCUUUAAUAAAACAGAAUAUGAUGUAAGGAGUUGAAGAGGUAUCGAAAUGGAUGUUCAACCCUUGAUCAGUACAUUUGUUUACUAUUUGCUAGAUUUAACAUAUUCUUGUUUUGGGCGGCUUCUGGGAUGUUAGCAAGAUAUUUGAGACUUUUUGCAAUUGGCUUUAUUAUCUAAAAAAUGCAUUUUUCUUCUGCAAUGCAAAUUACUUUUGAAUUUAUAAAUUUUAAUAAGUUAUUUUAUUCAAUUAUUU